rnacentral:piRNA from 1 species
AUCAACUGGAAGGAGCUGUGAUGC